rnacentral:rRNA from 1 species
UACGUAGGGGGCAAGCGUUGUCCGGAUUUAUUGGGCGUAAAGAGCUCGUAGGCGGCUUGGCAAGUCGGGUGUGAAAACUCCAGGCUCAACCUGGAGAUGCCACUCGAGACUGCUAUGGCUAGAGUCCGGUAGGGGACCACGGAAUUCCUGGUGUAGCGGUGAAAUGCGCAGAUAUCAGGAGGAACACCGGUGGCGAAGGCGGAUCUCUGGGCCAAUUGACUGACGCUGGAGGAGCGAAAGCGUGGGGAGCGAACAGGA